CUAUGGAAAAUUUCAAACAUCGCCUUGCUGCCUCCUCUUUCCUUGUUCCAAUGUGUCCGUCUUUGUGCUGGAGGGUCUGAAAGCGGAUCCCAGAUCAUGCUUUCAUUCAAAAACACUCGCGCACCGGCCAAACUUCUGGCAAGAGCAGCCCGAGGCCUCCAGGGGCCUCCAUCCACUCCCUCCGGGCCGGGGGGUCUUCCCAGCUCCACGUCAUCUCCAGAUGGUGUCUCAACCUCAUCCUUUAGAGCAGGGAUUCCAAUACCAGAAACAGGGCCAGGGACCCUCCCCUUCUGAGGCUCUGUGACUUGGGGUCAAUGUGGCGGAAGACCUUACGCACGGUGUGGGGGCUGGGUUGACACAAGGACGUCAUAGUCUAUGGAACGACUGUUACGGUUGAGCGUGACACGUGGGUAACGGUAAGUUAAGGCCCUUUCCCCUGUGCCCUGUCCUCCCCAGCCAAGGGCGUUUGAACUCUUGCUUCCAACACCCUGGGUGUCCUCCACCUGGCACCGGCCUCAACCACGUCAGGGGCGUCUAGUUCCAGCUGAGCCUGUUAGGACUGGAGAGGCACCCCCUGCCCCUUGGCAUGCACAAGUGACCCCAGGUGCCCUGCUGACUGCAAAACUCCACCCGCCGCUCGUGGCCCUGCCCCCAGUUUUAAGCGCAGAGGCCUCGAUGCGCCUGCGCACAACCUCACGCCUCCUGCCAAUCACGGCUCCCCACGCCCCCCACGCCCAGGGCCGCCUCCGCUUUAUUUCUUGGUCGGUAAAGACUCGGCGGGAAGAGUGGAGCCGAUGUGACGCCUGCGCUGGGCUUCGCUGCUUUGUGGGUUAACCUCCUGGUUGCUGCAAACCGGACGUCCUCGCAUGGUGGCUGUUGCACGACAGGCCAAGGGACCAGGGUCGUUUGGUAACAAGGGAGUAAGCGGAGCUCCAGAAACCAGUGUCAGGACUGCCUGGUACGAGCUGUGCAAGGAAGGGGUGAGGAGACCCGCGCCGCCGGCCAGGAGGAAUUCACGCCUCUCCCCUCGACGAGUGAGUGUGCUGCGCGGUGUGUGUGUGUGCUGAUAGACUGUGACUGUCCCCUAAGAGGAGACAGGCUCUCGGUACCUGGGCAGCCCCAGCCACAUGACCCACGACGGG